rnacentral:tRNA from 1 species
UCCCUUGUAGCUCAGUUGGUAAAGAAUCUGCCUGCAAUGCAAGAGACCCAGGUUUGAUUCCUGGGUUGGGAA